rnacentral:rRNA from 1 species
GGCCGGUAACAAAGAGUCGCCAACCCGCGAGGGGGAGCCAAUCCCAUAAAGCCAUUCGUAGUCCGGAUCGCAGUCUGCAACUCGACUGCGUGAAGUCGGAAUCGCUAGUAAUCGUGGAUCAGAAUGUCACGGUGAAUACGUUCCCGGGUCUU